rnacentral:tmRNA from 1 species
UGCUUCUUUGAGUGUGGAUUUCUUUUGUUUUUGUGUUAUUAUUCUACUCAAGCUGUAUAUCUGGUUAACUGAAGGUUUUCUGGACGCGGGUUCGAGUCCCGCCGUCUCCACCAAGAAGAUAUUCGUAGUAAAUUGAGUAUCUUGUUGAUGGGGACGCCAAGGUUUCGACAGGGAAAGAUAGGAAGACUGGCAGCCGGUAGGCGAUGACCGUAAAUCAAGCAAAACUCUUAAAUGCAAAUGACGAAAGUUACGCAUUAGCCGCCUAAUUUGGCCGCUAGGAGCCUGAUCCACUUGGCAACAGAACGGAUUGAAAGGGAGCUUCGGCUCCCUUUUCU